AUUGAACGCUGGCGGCAUGCCUUACACAUGCAAGUCGAACGGCAGCACGGGAGCAAUCCUGGUGGCGAGUGGCGAACGGGUGAGUAAUACAUCGGAACGUGCCCAAUAGUGGGGGAUAGCCCGGCGAAAGCCGGAUUAAUACCGCAUACGACCUACGGGUGAAAGCGGGGGAUCGCAAGACCUCGCGCUACUGGAGCGGCCGAUGUCGGAUUAGCUAGUUGGUGGGGAAAGGCCUACCAAGGCUACGAUCCGUAGCUGGUCUGAGAGGACGACCAGCCACACUGGGACUGAGACACGGCCCAGACUCCUACGGGAGGCAGCAGUGGGGAAUUUUGGACAAUGGGCGCAAGCCUGAUCCAGCCAUGCCGCGUGCGGGAAGAAGGCCU
rnacentral:rRNA from 1 species